rnacentral:rRNA from 1 species
CAGUCGCCACGGUAAUACGAAGGGUGCAAGCGUUAAUCGGAAUUACUGGGCGUAAAGCGUGCGUAGGCGGUUUGUUAAGUCUGUUGUGAAAUCCCCGGGCUCAACCUGGGAAUGGCAAUGGAUACUGGCAAGCUAGAGUGUGUCAGAGGAUGGUGGAAUUUCCGGUGUAGCAGUGAAAUGCGUAGAGAUCGGAAGGAACAUCUGUGGCGAAGGCGACUAUCUGGGCCAACACUGACACUGAGGCGCGAAAGCGUGGGGAGCAAACAGGAUUAGAUACCCGGGUAGUCCCUGUCUCUUAUAC